UACAGAGGUGGCAAGCGUUGUUCGGAAUUACUGGGCGUAAAGGGCGAGUAGGUGGCCAUCUAAGUCAGACGUGAAAUCCCCCGGCUUAACCUGGGAACUGCGUCUGAUACUGGACGGCUAGAGUAUGGGAGAGGGAUGUAGAAUUCCAGGUGUAGCGGUGAAAUGCGUAGAUAUCGAGAGGAACACCUGCGGCGAAGGCGGGUUGCUGGGCCGACACUGACGCUGAGGCGCGAAAGCUAGGGGAGCGAACGGG
rnacentral:rRNA from 1 species